AUGCGGGGGUCUGCGGGCGGUAGGUGGCACUGCGAGCGCGGGGAUGGCGCCUGUGCUGCUGCGGCCUGCGCUCCUCGCUUCCCUCGGCUGUCGCUAGCUGUCGUCCUGCUGUUCUCGGUGGAAGAACCGCAGAUUACGCGGUCUCCAAAGUAUGUUUUCCCUACAUGCGUGUGGAAAGCUGGAUGGGCUUUCCCACCAAAGCUGCAAAAUCCUGAGCCUCGAUGCGGCUACGUACCGCUAGGCGAAUUAAAAGCCAGGAGGAAUAUGGCAUACAUAUGGAGGAAUAUGACAUACAUAUACAUAUGUGGCCAGGCCACAACAACUGAUGCUACCUGUCCUUUUUCCUGCUGAGUCUAUUGAACAACUUCAGUGUUACAAUAUUUCAUGUGAGCACUGCUGCCUCAUUUCAGCACCUGUGGAAAAGGUAUGAUAGUGGGGCUCCUGAACGAAGGAGGAGGUUUGAAGGCCUAGACUUGUGGAAUGAGAUGAGUCCAAGAACAGGAAAAGCCCAGCAGGAGCACAGUCUGCGGUUUUCUGUUUUUCUUACAGAGUGAAAUAAAGAGUAGUUGGAAGAUAUGAAAAAGAUCUCU
rnacentral:lncRNA from 1 species